UACGUAGGGACCAAGCGUUGUUCGGAUUUACUGGGCGUAAAGGGCGCGUAGGCGGCAAUUCAAGUCAUCUGUGAAAUCUCCGGGCUUAACCCGGAACGGUCAGGUGAUACUGUUUUGCUAGAGUGCGGAAGGGGCAAUCGGAAUUCUUGGUGUAGCGGUGAAAUGCGUAGAUAUCAAGAGGAACACCUGAGGUGAAGACGGGUUGCUGGGCCGACACUGUCGCUGACAGCGCGAAAGCCAGGGGAGCAAACGGG
rnacentral:rRNA from 1 species